rnacentral:rRNA from 1 species
AUUGAACGCUGGCGGCAUGCUUUACACAUGCAAGUCGAACGGUAACAGGCCGCAAGGUGCUGACGAGUGGCGGCCGGGUGCGUAAUGCAUCGGAACGUGCCCAGUCGUGGGGGUUAACUGCUCGAAAGAGUAGCUAAUACCGCAUACGAUCUAUGACUGCCAGCGGGGGACCGUAAGGCAUCGCGCGAUUGGAGCGGCCGAUGUCAGAUUAGGUAGUUGGUGGGGUAAAGGCUCACCAAGCCAACGAUCUGUAGCUGGUCUGAGAGGACGACCAGCCACACUGGAACUGAGACACGGCCCAGACUCCUACGGGAGGCAGCAGUGGGGAAUAUUGGACAAUGGGCGCAAGCCUGAUCCAGCAAUGCCGCGUGCGGGAAGAAGGCCUUCGGGUUGUAAAGUGCUUUUGUAGGGAAAGAAACGCAUCUGGUUAAUACCCGGGGCUAAUGACGGUACCGAAAGAAUAAGCACCGGCUAACUACGUG